rnacentral:rRNA from 1 species
AUUGAACGCUGGCGGAAUGCUUUACACAUGCAAGUCGAACGGCAGCACGGACUUCGGUCUGGUGGCGAGUGGCGAACGGGUGAGUAAUGUAUCGGAACGUGCCCAGUCGUGGGGGAUAACGUAGUGAAAAUUACGCUAAUACCGCAUACGAUCUAUGGAUGAAAGCGGGGGAUCGCAAGACCUCGCGCGAUUGGAGCGGCCGAUAUCAGAUUAGGUAGUUGGUGGGGUAAAGGCCCACCAAGCCAACGAUCUGUAGCUGGUCUGAGAGGACGACCAGCCACACUGGAACUGAGACACGGUCCAGACUCCUACGGGAGGCAGCAGUGGGGAAUUUUGGACAAUGGGCGAAAGCCUGAUCCAGCCAUUCCACGUGCAGGAUGAAGGCCCUCGGGUUGUAAACUGCUUUUGUACAGAACGAAAAGGUUUCUACUAAUACUAGGAGCUCAUGACGGUACUAUAAGAAUAAGCACCGGCUAACUACGUGCCAGCAGCCGCAGUAA